CUUCAACGAGCCCAGCCACAGCGGCUGUUCGUCGGGGCGGUCCUGGCCGUAGGUGGCGAGGAGGGCCUGGGCCUC
rfam:Streptomyces ipomoeae 91-03 gcontig_1108499708047, whole genome shotgun sequence.